rnacentral:rRNA from 1 species
UACAGAGGGGGCAAGCGUUGUUCGGAAUUACUGGGCGUAAAGGGCGCGUAGGUGGCGUCGCAAGUCGAUGGUGAAAGCUCGUCGCUCAACGACGAGUCGGCCAUUGAUACUGCGAGGCUGGAGCACUGUAGAGGCAGAUGGAAUUCCGGGUGUAGCGGUGGAAAUGCGUAGAGAUCCGGAAGAACACCGGUGGCGAAGGCGGUCUGCUGGGCAGUUGCUGACA